rnacentral:rRNA from 1 species
GACGAACGCUGGCGGCGUGCCUAAUACAUGCAAGUAGAACGCACAGUUUAUACCGUAGCUUGCUCCACCAUAGACUGUGAGUUGCGAACGGGUGAGUAACGCGUAGGUAACCUGCCUGGUAGCGGGGGGUAACUAUUGGAAACGAUAGCUAAUACCGCAUAAUAUUGAUUAUUGCAUGAUAAUUGAUUGAAAGAUGCUAUUGCAUCACUACCAGAUGGACCUGCGUUGUAUUAGCUAGUAGGUGAGGUAACGGCUCACCUAGGCGACGAUACAUAGCCGACCUGAGAGGGUGAUCGGCCACACUGGGACUGAGACACGGCCCAGACUCCUACGGGAGGCAGCAGUAGGGAAUCUUCGGCAAUGGACGAAAGUCUGACCGAGCAACGCCGCGUGAGUGAAGAAGGGUGUCGGAUCGGAAAGCUCUGUUGUAAGAGAAGAACGGGUGUGAGAGUGGAAAGUUCACACUGUGACGGUAUCUUACCAGAAAGGGACGGCUAACUACGUG